UACGUAGGUGGCAAGCGUUAUCCGGAAUUAUUGGGCGUAAAGCGCGCGCAGGUGGUUUCUUAAGUCUGAUGUGAAAGCCCACGGCUCAACCGUGGAGGGUCAUUGGAAACUGGGAGACUUGAGUACAGAAGAGGAAAGUGGAAUUCCAUGUGUAGCGGUGAAAUGCGUAGAGAUAUGGAGGAACACCAGUGGCGAAGGCGACUUUCUGGUCUGUAACUGACACUGAGGCGCGAAAGCGUGGGGAGCAAACAGG
rnacentral:rRNA from 1 species